rnacentral:rRNA from 1 species
GAUGAACGCUGGCGGCGUGCCUAAUACAUGCAAGUCGAGCGCGUGAAACUAAACAGAACUCUUCGGAGUGACGUAUAGCGGAUCGAGCGGCGGAUGGGUGAGUAACACGUGGGCAACCUGCCUAUAAGACUGGGAUAACUUACGGAAACGUGAGCUAAUACCGGAUGAAACCUCUUAUCACCUGGUAAGAGGAUGAAAGAUGGCUUUUAGCUAUCACUUAUAGAUGGGCCCGCGGCGCAUUAGCUAGUUGGUGAGAUAAAAGCUCACCAAGGCAACGAUGCGUAGCCGACCUGAGAGGGUGAUCGGCCACACUGGGACUGAGACACGGCCCAGACUCCUACGGGAGGCAGCAGUAGGGAAUCUUCCGCAAUGGACGAAAGUCUGACGGAGCAACGCCGCGUGAACGAAGAAGGUUCUCGGAUCGUAAAGUUCUGUUGUUAGGGAAGAACACGUACCAUUCGAAUAGGGUGGUACCUUGACGGUACCUAACGAGAAAGCCCCGGCUAACUACGUGCCAGCAGCCGCGGUAAUACGUAGGGGGCAAGCGUUGUCCGGAAUUAUUGGGCGUAAAGCGCUCGCAGGCGGUUUUUUAAGUCUGAUGUGAAAUCUUGCGGCUCAACCGCAAGCGGUCAUUGGAAACUGGAGAACUUGAGGACAGAAGAGGAGAGUGGAAUUCCACGUGUAGCGGUGAAAUGCGUAGAGAUGUGGAGGAACACCAGUGGCGAAGGCGACUCUCUGGUCUGUAACUGACGCUGAGGAGCGAAAGCGUGGGUAGCGAACAGGAUUAGAUACCCUGGUAGUCCACGCCGUAAACGAUGAGUGCUAGGUGUUAGGGGGUUUCCGCCCCUUAGUGCUGGCGUUAACGCAUUAAGCACUCCGCCUGGGGAGUACGGCCGCAAGGCUGAAACUCAAAAGAAUUG